UUUUGUAUAAUGGGUCAGCGACUUAUAUUCUGUAGCAAGGUUAACCGAAUAGGGGAGCCGAAGGGAAACCGAGUCUUAACUGGGCGUUAAGUUGCAGGGUAUAGACCCGAAACCCGGUGAUCUAGCCAUGGGCAGGUUGAAGGUUGGGUAACACUAACUGGAGGACCGAACCGACUAAUGUUGAAAAAUUAGCGGAUGACUUGUGGCUGGGGGUGAAAGGCCAAUCAAACCGGGAGAUAGCUGGUUCUCCCCGAAAGCUAUUUAGGUAGCGCCUCGUGAAUUCAUCUCCGGGGGUAGAGCACUGUUUCGGCAAGGGGGUCAUCCCGACUUACCAACCCGAUGCAAACUGCGAAUACCGGAGAAUGUUAUCACGGGAGACACACGGCGGGUGCUAACGUCCGUCGUGAAGAGGGAAACAACCCAGACCGCCAGCUAAGGUCCCAAAGUCAUGGUUAAGUGGGAAACGAUGUGGGAAGGCCCAGACAGCCAGGAUGUUGGCUUAGAAGCAGCCAUCAUUUAAAGAAAGCGUAAUAGCUCACUGGUCGAGUCGGCCUGCGCGGAAGAUGUAACGGGGCUAAACCAUGCACCGAAGCUGCGGCAGCGACACUAUGUGUUGUUGGGUAGGGGAGCGUUCUGUAAGCCUGUGAAGGUGGCCUGUGAGGGUUGCUGGAGGUAUCAGAAGUGCGAAUGCUGACAUAAGUAACGAUAAAGCGGGUGAAAAGCCCGCUCGCCGGAAGACCAAGGGUUCCUGUCCAACGUUAAUCGGGGCAGGGUGAGUCGACCCCUAAGGCGAGGCCGAAAGGCGUAGUCGAUGGGAAACAGGUUAAUAUUCCUGUACUUGGUGUUACUGCGAAGGGGGGACGGAGAAGGCUAUGUUGGCCGGGCGACGGUUGUCCCGGUUUAAGCGUGUAGGCUGGUUUUCCAGGCAAAUCCGGAAAACCAAGGCUGAGGCGUGAUGACGAGGCACUACGGUGCUGAAGCGACAAAUGCCCUGCUUCCAGGAAAAGCCUCUAAGCAUCAGGUAACAUCAAAUCGUACCCCAAACCGACACAGGUGGUCAGGUAGAGAAUACCAAGGCGCUUGAGAGAACUCGGGUGAAGGAACUAGGCAAAAUGGUGCCGUAACUUCGGGAGAAGGCACGCUGAUAUGUAGGUGAAGCGACUUGCUCGUGGAGCUGAAAUCAGUCGAAGAUACCAGCUGGCUGCAACUGUUUAUUAAAAACACAGCACUGUGCAAACACGAAAGUGGACGUAUACGGUGUGACGCCUGCCCGGUGCCGGAAGGUUAAUUGAUGGGGUUAGCGGUAAC
rnacentral:rRNA from 1 species